rnacentral:lncRNA from 1 species
UUCAUUCUAUCUCUUAGUCUAGUUGGUUUCAACCCAAGGAUUCAUUCGCUAUAAGUAAAUAGGGGCUAUCCCCGGGGGAUUUUUAGGAAUAUCUCCAUUGUUGAUGUAGUUACUAUUCUCUCUUUUUUUAUGGCUCAUUGCCCAGAUGUGCUACUAAGCGAAGGAAAGUAGGAAUUCCGCCCAUGACUGGGCUCCUUCUCUUCCAAGCGCAUGUACCAAGAAAAGUAGAGAAUUUACCUCCUCUAUUAUGGAUCGGUCGAGCUACUUCGUAGGUUUAAAUUCGACCGAAAGGAGAGGUUUAGAAUAUACUCGACCAAUAGGGUUCAGAAAAAGCUACUUCGUAGGUUUAAAUUCAACCGAAAGGAGAGGUUUAGAAUAUACUCGACCAAUAGGGUUCAGAAAGAGCUCGACCAAUAGGGAGAGGAGGGACACAUUCGUUUGAGUUGCUUUCUCUCCUUGGUAAAGGUUUCACUUCGAAGCAGAAGGAUCAUGCUACGUCGGGUAUCCCCUUCUUUAUGAGCUACUGAGCGAAAGUCAAUACUCACACAACUGAAAGAGUGGGUUACGAGAAAGACUCAAUAGCUGAAUUAAUUGAUGCGU